rnacentral:rRNA from 1 species
UACGAAGGGUGCAAGCGUUACUCGGAAUUACUGGGCGUAAAGCGUGCGUAGGUGGUUUGUUAAGUCUGCUGUGAAAGCCCCGGGCUCAACCUGGGAAUGGCAGUGGAUACUGGCAAGCUAGAGUGCGGUAGAGGGUAGUGGAAUCCCCGGUGUAGCGGUGAAAUGCGUAGAGAUCGGGAGGAACACCAGUGGCGAAGGCGGCUACCUGGACCAGCACUGACACUCAGGCACGAAAGCGUGGGGAGCAAACAGG